rnacentral:rRNA from 1 species
AGUGAACGCUGGCGGUAGGCCUAACACAUGCAAGUCGAACGGCAGCACAGUAAGAGCUUGCUCUUAUGGGUGGCGAGUGGCGGACGGGUGAGGAAUACAUCGGAAUCUACUUUUUCGUGGGGGAUAACGUAGGGAAACUUACGCUAAUACCGCAUACGACCUACGGGUGAAAGCAGGGGACCUUCGGGCCUUGCGCGAUU